UAAAAAAAGGUAAGCUACUAAGAGCGAAUGGUGGAUGCCUUGACUGGUAAAGGCGAUGAAGGACGUACUAGACUGCGAUAAGCUACGGGGAGCUGUCAAGAAGCUUUGAUCCGUAGAUUUCCGAAUGGGGCAACCCAAUGUAUAGAGAUAUACAUUACCUAUAUAGGAGCGAACGAGGGGAAUUGAAACAUCUUAGUACCCUCAGGAAAAGAAAUCAAUAGAGAUUGCGUCAGUAGCGGCGAGCGAAAGCGCAAGAGGGCAAACCCAGUGCUUGCACUGGGGGUUGUAGGACUGCAAUGUGCAAGAGCUGAGUUUAGCAGAACAUUCUGGAAAGUAUAGCCAUAGAGGGUGAUAGUCCCGUAUGCGAAAAACAAAGCUUAGCUAGCAGUAUCCUGAGUAGGGCGGGACACGAGGAAUCCUGUCUGAAUCCGGGUCGACCACGAUCCAACCCUAAAUACUAAUACCAGAUCGAUAGUGCACAAGUACCGUGAGGGAAAGGUGAAAAGAACUGAGGUGAUCAGAGUGAAAUAGAACCUGAAACCAUUUGCUUACAAUCAUUCAGAGCACUAUGUAGCAAUACAGUGUGAUGGACUGCCUUUUGCAUAAUGAGCCUGCGAGUUGUGGUGUCUGGCAAGGUUAAGCAAACGCGAAGCCGUAGCGAAAGCGAGUCUGAAUAGGGCGCUUAGUCAGAUGCUGCAGACCCGAAACGAAGUGAUCUAUCCAUGAGCAAGUUGAAGCUAGUGUAAGAACUAGUGGAGGACUGAACCCAUAGGCGUUGAAAAGCCCCGGGAUGACUUGUGGAUAGGGGUGAAAGGCCAAUCAAACUUCGUGAUAGCUGGUUCUCUCCGAAAUAUAUUUAGGUAUAGCGUUGUGUCGUAAUAUAAGGGGGUAGAGCACUGAAUGGGCUAGGGCAUACACCAAUGUACCAAACCCUAUCAAACUCCGAAUACCUUAUAUGUAAUCACAGCAGUCAGGCGGCGAGUGAUAAAAUCCGUCGUCAAGAGGGAAACAACCCAGACUACC
rnacentral:rRNA from 1 species